rnacentral:rRNA from 1 species
AUACGGAGGGGGUUAGCGUUGUUCGGAAUUACUGGGCGUAAAGCGCACGUAGGCGGACCGGAAAGUUAGAGGUGAAAUCCCAGGGCUCAACCCUGGAACUGCCUUUAAAACUAUCGGUCUAGAGUUCGAGAGAGGUGAGUGGAAUUCCUAGUGUAGAGGUGAAAUUCGUAGAUAUUAGGAGGAACACCAGUGGCGAAGGCGGCUCACUGGCUCGAUACUGACGCUGAGGUGCGAAAGCGUGGGGAGCAAACAGGAUUAGAAACCCCAGUAGUCC